GUCAGCACCCCGCACUAAAGUGACGGGGCUUCAUACCUACCUCUAACUUUAGUUAGUUGACCAGCCUAAGUCUUAACUGACUCCGUUAUUGGUAAGCGUUAAAGUUCUUACCUACAGAUGCGUAGCUAGUUUGUAGCUCUAAA
rnacentral:sRNA from 1 species